AUACAAACAUAGAAACAUAGAAAAUAGUGGAGUCAGGGAGGAUUAUUUCAUUGAAUCUUCUUUAACUCUUUGGUAUUUUAAAUACGUUAAUUUUAAGAUUAAAAUAAAAAUAAUAAAAGACGAAUAAAAACAUAUUAAUAAAAAUAAUAGGAUUUGUUCUACAAAAUUUG